CCUUACAAGAGUUUAGACGUCUGACGCUUUAAGAAAGAAAAGAAUUCGGAAUAGAAUGAUUUUGAGUAUAAAUUUCUUGGUCAAAAACCUUCACCCAAUUUUGAAUUGUCAAGUCAAGAGCUUUAUGUAAGAGUAGAAGCCCCAAAAGGUGAAUUAGGGAUUUAUCCAGUAGGAGAUGAUAGCCUUUUCCCCUGGAGAUGGAAAAUCCAUCCACGUUUUUUAAAUUUGCAAAUUCUUCUUCAACUAGUUAAAAAGAUGAAAUUGGCUGAUAUCAUGACGAUAUUAGGUAGUAUAUAUACCAUCAUGGGGGGAGUUUAUCGUUGA
rnacentral:rRNA from 1 species